rnacentral:lncRNA from 1 species
CCUCAGAGAAGCACUUCCUUUCUAAGGCCCUGUACUCUUGGCCUGGGGCCUGCCUACCCCUCUUCAGCCAAGACAGAGAUCUUCAGGAACUCCUUCCUCUCCCGCACCCACCCCCACCCACAAGCUUUCCUGCAUCCUGGGUGCUUUGGCCUCCUGCCCUCCAGGCUCACUGGAGGUGGAGUUGGCUUCCUAUAACUUUACUGGGCACCUGUUCCCAGUUGCUGUGCCCUCCUACAGCACCGGGGUCUCUGCUUAAACAAUCAUCUCCCCUCUCUUCUCUCUCUUUAGCCUCUUCCUUCACCUCAUUCCUUCCCAUCGCCAUUUGAGGAUGGUUAAGUCAUGCUCUUUGAAAAGCUGUUCCCUG